UACGUAGGGGGCUAGCGUUGUCCGGAUUUAUUGGGCGUAAAGAGCGUGUAGGCGGCCAGGUAGGUCCGUUGUGAAAACUCGAGGCUCAACCUCGAGACGCCGGCGGAAACCCCUUUGGCUAGAGUCCGGAAGAGGGAGAGUGGAAUUCCGUGGUGUAGCGGUGAAAUGCGCAGAUAUCAGGAAGAACACCCGUGGCGAAGGCGGCUCUCUGGGACGGUACUGACGCUGAGACGCGAAAGCGUGGGGAGCAAACAGG
rnacentral:rRNA from 1 species